rnacentral:rRNA from 1 species
GCGAGUAAACUGGCGAACGGGUGAGUAACGUAUAGGUAAUUUGCCUACGAGUGGGGAAUAGGUCCGGGAAACCGGAAUUAAUACCGCAUAACGUCAUGCUCCGAUGGGAGUGUGAUCAAAGGUGGGGACCUUCGGGCCCAUCGCUUGUAGAUAAGCCUGCAUCUGAUUAGUUAGUUGGUAGGGUAACGGCCUACCAAGACCGCGAUCAGUAGCUGUUCUAAGAGGAAGAUCAGCCACAUUGGGACUGAGAUACGGCCCAGACUCCUACGGGAGGCAGCAGUGAGGAAUUUUGCGCAAUGGGAGAGAUCCUGACGCAGCAACGCCGCGUGACCGAUUGAAGCUUUUAGGAGUGUAAAGGUCUGUCGUGAGGGAAGAAAAAGACCGAGAAUAAUAAGUUCGGUAAUUGACGGUACCUCACAAGCAAGCUCCGGCUAACUUCGUGCCAGCAGCCGCGGUAAUACGAGGGGAGCAAGCGUUGUCCGAAAUAACUGGGCGUAAAGGGUACGUAGGCUUUUUUGUAUGUUUCCGGUGAAAUUCACAGGCUCAACUUGUGACUUGCCGGAAAAAACUGCAGAGAUUGAAUCCGGAAGGGGAAAGCGGAAUUCCUGGUGUAGCGGUGAAAUGCGUAGAUAUCAGGAGGAACACCAGUGGCGAAGGCGGCUUUCUGGUCCCGGAAUUGACGCUGAGGGUACUAAAAGCGUGGGUAGCAAACCAGGGAUUAGAUACCCUGGGUAGUCCACGCCCUAAACGAUG